rnacentral:rRNA from 1 species
AUGGACCUACGGGGCGCAGCAGUGAGGAAUAUUGGUCAAUGGGCGGGAGCCUGAACCAGCCAAGUCGCGUGAGGGAAGACGGUCCUAUGGAUUGUAAACCUCUUUAGGCGGGGAGCAAUGCCGGGCACGCGUGCCCGGAGGGAGAGUACCCGCAGAAUAAGCAUCGGCUAACUCCGUGCCAGCAGCCGCGGUAAUACGGAGGAUGCGAGCGUUAUCCGGAUUUAUUGGGUUUAAAGGGUGCGUAGGCGGAUUUUUAAGUCAGCGGGAAAAUGGCCGGGCUCAAUCCCGCCCGG